rnacentral:rRNA from 1 species
CCCGCACAAGCGGAGGAACAUGUGGUUUAAUUCGAUGAUACGCGAGGAACCUUACCUGGGCUUAAAUGCACUUUGACAGACUUGGAAACGAGUUUUUCUUCGGACAAAGUACAAGGUGCUGCAUGGUUGUCGUCAGCUCGUGCCGUGAGGUGUCGGGUUAAGUCCCAUAACGAGCGCAACCCUCAUCGUUAGUUACUAUCAGGUUAUGCUGAGGACUCUAGCGAGACUGCCACCGUAAGGUGAGAGGAAGGUGAGGAUGACGUCAAAUCAGCACGGCCCUUACGCCCAGGGCUACACACGUGUUACAAUGGUAUGGACAAAGGGCAGCUACACAGUGAUGUGAUGCUAAUCUCAAAACCAUAUCUCAGUUCGGAUCGGAGUCUGCAACUCGACUCCGUGAAGUUGGAUUCGCUAGUAAUCGCAUAUCAGCAACGAUGCGGUGAAUACGUUCCCGGGCCUUGUACACACCGCCCGUCAAGCCAUGGAAGCCGAGGGUACCUAAAGUCCGUAACCGUAAGGAUCGGCCUAGGGUAAAAUUGGUAACUGGGGCUAAGUCGUAACAAGGUAACCGUAAAGGGCGAAUUUCGCGGCCGCU